rnacentral:rRNA from 1 species
GACGAACGCUGGCGGCGUGCCUAAUACAUGCAAGUUGAGCGCUGAAGGUUGGUCCUUGUACCAACUGGAUGAGCAGCGAACGGGUGAGUAACGCGUGGGGAAUCUGCCUUUGAGCGGGGGACAACAUUUGGAAACGAAUGCUAAUACCGCAUAAAAACUUUAAACACAAGUUUUAAGUUUGAAAGAUGCAAUUGCAUCACUCAAAGAUGAUCCCGCGUUGUAUUAGCUAGUUGGUGAGGUAAAGGCUCACCAAGGCGAUGAUACAUAGCCGACCUGAGAGGGUGAUCGGCCACAUUGGGACUGAGACACGGCCCAAACUCCUACGGGAGGCAGCAGUAGGGAAUCUUCGGCAAGGGACGAAAGUCUGACCGAGCAACGCCGCGUGAGUGAAGAAGGUUUUCGGAUCGUAAAACUCUGUUGGUAGAGAAGAACGUUGGUGAGAGUGGAAAGCUCAUCAAGUGACGGUAACUACCCAGAAAGGGACGGCUAACUACGUG